UACGUAGGUGGCAAGCGUUGUCCGGAUUUAUUGGGUUUAAAGGGUGCGUAGGCGGCUUUAUAAGUCAGUGCUGAAAUAUCCCGGCUUAACCGGGAGGGUGGCAUUGAUACUGCAGAGCUUGAGUGAAGUCGAGGUAGGCGGAAUUGACGGUGUAGCGGUGGAAUGCGUAGAGAUCGGGAAGAACAUCGGUGGCGAAGGCGGCCAGCUGGGCCAUUGCUGACGCUGAGGCGCGACAGCGUGGGGAGCAAACAGG
rnacentral:rRNA from 1 species